UACGUAGGGUGCAAGCGUUGUCCGGAAUUAUUGGGCGUAAAGAGCUCGUAGGCGGUUUGUCGCGUCGAAUGUGAAAACCCGGGGCUCAACCCCGGGCCUGCAUUCGAUACGGGCAGACUAGAGUUCGGCAGGGGAGUCUGGAAUUCCUGGUGUAGCGGUGAAGUGCGCAGAUAUCAGGAGGAACACCGGUGGCGAAGGCGGGACUCUGGGCCGAUACUGACACUGAGGAGCGAAAGCGUGGGGAGCGAACAGG
rnacentral:rRNA from 1 species